CUCCUACACCAAGUUCACCAGAGAGAAACUCGACACAAUCGUGGACUUCCCCCUCAGGGAUCUGGACUUCUCCUCGUUUCUCUUGAGGAGGAAGCUGUCCACAGAGGAGCCGCUGAGUUGCUACAACCUCAUCGCUGUGUCCAAUCACUACGGAGGACUCAGAGACGGACACUACACCAGCUACGCUCAGAACAAGGACAACGGUCAGUGGUAUUACUUCGAUGACAGCAAGGUUACAUACGCCUCCGUGG